UGUAAUAACACAGUUUGUUUCUUCCAAAAAGAAAUGCUUCCUGGAAUUUGGUUCAUCUUCCUUGAUGUGUAUGCUACAGCAUUUCAGGAAGCAGAAGAAAGCCAGAGCUACACUGAGGAGCACAAAACCAUGUAGAAGGAAAAAGAAUGGCAAGAGCUGAUCUGCAUUCACUUGGUAUUCUUCUUUGCACAAAAUAUACCUUGUGGGUGCCUCCGCUGAAAACAACACUGGAUAAAACAGCCACGGAAGUGGUUUAGAGCAACUUGGAAAGGACAAUCAAAGGGAAAAAGAAACUUACUCUUCUUUUAAAAUGAGAGCAGUCAGUCUUAUGAAACAGAAUCCUGUGGCUGCUGUCACAUUCUGUGACUUUUCUGCAUUUCUGUGGAACUGUAGCAUAGAUUCUAUCCUGUGACCAAUGGAGUAAUUAAUGGCACGCACAAAGCUUUGAUUAAAAUGCAGAUGGACAUAAAAGUUGUCAUGCAGCCCAGAAAAAAUGAACUCUCCAGGUGGCUUUUCUCUACCACAGUGGUCAAAUACGAUUCACAUCUAUGCUUCGGAGCAUUUAGUUCUUCUGAAACCAGCAUCAGCAAAAAUUCUGGAGCUCUUCCACAAGUAUUUUAAACAUUUUAAUCAACUUGAAAUGAUAAUGGCCUCCAGCAUGAAGCUUUGCUUCCCCCUCACUACUGCAGAAAUUGAACAAGAGGUGUGGAAUAAGCAGGCUGCAGAUAACCCUUGGGAAACUACUUUUGGAGUGUGCAUUUGAAAGCAAAGAAAUGUCAAGGAGGAAGAGAGCUGCCUUGCUUUGCCGCCUUGCUCUGCUGCUGCUGGACCCCUGGAGCCCUUGCAAGCCUGCCUAGAGACCUUGUCUACUGAUCCCCCACUCUUAUGGAUUAUCUUGCUGUUGUGUUAGAACCCCAUUAUUGUGGAUUAUCUUGCUGUUGUUGGACCCCCACUCCUGUGGAUUAUCUUGCUGCUGGACCCCUGCUGUGCUGUUGAGUGCCUGUGUGUAAUUCGCCUGGAGCCUCUGGUCAGAGACUCCAGCUGAAGAUGCUGAAAGUAUAUGAUGGUUUUGGCUUAUCUCUGUUCUCAAAUGCUUGUCACAGAUGGAUGGAUCUCACUUUCUCUAAAAAUGCUGGAAUUAUAAAUUUUUAAUGUAAAAAACCAAUAUGAAAUGCAAGAUACUGGGAUUUCCUCCUGUGUUCACUGAAGUUAGUGAAAAGAGUGGGAAGCCUGUGUACGCAGCAGCUGAAGUUCAGAUCCUCUAAGAAACUUCUGAAAUGUUCAUUAUUUUUAAAGAACAAUAUAUAAAUCCUCUAACCUCAUAGCCCAAUAGGCAAACCUUCAUGCUAUUGAUUUCACUGAGAAUUAUGCCAUAAAACAGUAGAUAGGCUUUGGCUCACAGCCAUAGCCUUCAUGCUAACAAAACUCUUCCAAUAGCACUCUCUCCCACUUAGCUCCAGAAAGCUGUUUCCACACUCCAUAUAUUGUCAGUCCUUUUCUCAAGUUUCUUGGAGACAAUGCAGUGUUUCUUUUCGCAGUUUGAAUAAA